rnacentral:rRNA from 1 species
UACGGAGGUGGCGAGCGUUGUUCGGAAUUACUGGGCGUAAAGGGCGCGUAGGCGGGGGGAGAAGUCGGGUGUGAAAGCCCUCGGCUCAACCGAGGAACGGCGCUCGAGACUCUCUUUCUUGAGUCCCGGAGAGGCGGGUGGAAUUCCUGGUGUAGCGGUGAAAUGUGUAGAGAUCAGGAGGAACACCGGUGGCGUAAGCGGCCCGCUGGACGGAGACUGACGCUGAGGCGCGAAAGCGUGGGGAGCAAACGGG